CAAUAUCAGUAAAUUACAGAUCCUCCAAUCGCUCCCGAGCUCUCUCUCCCUCUUAUCCCUCAAACUCAUUUCUAGGGUUUCGCCCAACACCACCAUCAACGACGGAAGCGAUCGUCUCCUUCUCAUGGACGAGAGCCACAUCACCGCUAAUCGCAGGCCCCUUGCCUCGUCGCGUUUCGAUUCCAGAAGACGGAGAUUUGCCUCUCCAAUCUCCAAUACCGCGUGCCGUUUCAGGUUCCAGAUACCGCUCUGGUCUUCGAUUCGAUCGAUACGAGUGAUGCCGAUUGGGAGUUCAUUGCUGAGGAGUACGAACGAUGUGGUUAGGGUUUCGUAUAAUUGUCUUACAGGAGCUAGACGCCCACAACUGCGGGGAGUUGUCACAACAAAACAUCGAAGAUCCUUGAUCUCGAUAUAGAUGUCCGUUCUGACGUACAAACCAUAGGUUUUGGUGGAUUUGAACUGAUGGAUCCUUCCUACAAGUUGGCUGAAAGCAGGACCAGUAUGUUGUGAUGAGAAACAGGUAAGAGAAAGUUAUUUCAUUUGCCAUGGUUUUACAUAUUUUUAUUUUCUUUACUGUAUUUAUGAAGAAAGAUUUGUUCCUGUUUUGUUCAACAAUGUGAUGGUCGUUAGAUGGGUAUCAGUCUGGCCAACUGUAGUUCCUUCACUUUAUUAUGUCCAACCUUACAACUUCCCAUAACUGUGAUUGGGGUCAGGGAUCAAAACAUUUAAAGACUUUCAUUUUAUAUUUUGUUUACUUUUUUUUUUUUUUUGAUAUCCUUCAUAUAUUUCUAUCAUUUAAAAAAAAAAUAUUCAUCUUAACCACAAUUUACAGAGAUUUUUACUGCUUUUGGCAUUGGUUUGGGUUAGUGAUUAACUUAAGUUGAUUAAUAUGAACUAUUAUCUUCAAUUAUCUAUAUACAAAUACUCAGGCGCAUUAAAAAAAUAUCAAGGACAUGAAAUUUGAUUUGUGUGUCUGUUUGUCAAGUAUAAUGUUUUAAUGUCCAUAUCCUUGUCUGUAAUUUCCCUUUUGGCUGUUAAACUGUUAGUAAUGCGUUCAUGUCUCUUUCCCUAUUGAUACUGCUUUAUUUUAGAGUGAAAAAGAUAGUAUUUGCUUGUGUUGUCUUGGUGUUGUCUUGGUAUUGUAUGCCUCUAGGGAUGCUGUCUUGUUUGUUACUUUUUAAAUUCAGCAUCUGCUCAAGUGAUUCUGUUGUAAAUCUGGUUACGGUAUUCCAUUUUCAGUACUCUGUAUUGUCUCUGUUUCUGAAAUGGGUUUGGCCAAUUGGUAUUGCUAGACUCUGGGAUGCAUUUCUAACUAUUUUGUCCAACUGCAUGCAGAAUUUAGUUAUUUAAUUUGUCUUGUAGACUUUUUUAUCCGAAGACUUGCAAUGUCUUUGACAAAAAAAGAGUUGCAAUCUUUGUAAUCUCUGUAUUUGAGAAAGUCCUUUUGAGAAUAAAAUUGGUCCACAAAGCAAUUCUUGAAA